rnacentral:rRNA from 1 species
UAGAGUUUGAUCCUGGCUCAGAACGAACGCUGGCGGCAGGCCUAACACAUGCAAGUCGAGCGCACCCUUCGGGGCGAGCGGCGGACGGGUUAGUAACGCGUGGGAACGUGCCCUUCUCUAAGGAAUAGCCUCGGGAAACUGAGAGUAAUACCUUAUACGCCCUUCGGGGGAAAGAUUUAUCGGAGAAGGAUCGGCCCGCGUUAGAUUAGAUAGUUGGUGGGGUAACGGCCUACCAAGUCUACGAUCUAUAGCUGGUUUUAGAGGAUGAUCAGCAACACUGGGACUGAGACACGGCCCAGACUCCUACGGGAGGCAGCAGUGGGGAAUCUUGGACAAUGGGCGCAAGCCUGAUCCAGCCAUGCCGCGUGAGUGAUGAAGGCCUUAGGGUCGUAAAGCUCUUUCGCCAGGGAUGAUAAUGACAGUACCUGGUAAAGAAACCCCGGCUAACUCCGUGCCAGCAGCCGCGGUAAUACGGAGGGGGUUAGCGUUGUUCGGAAUUACUGGGCGUAAAGCGUACGUAGGCGGAUCAGAAAGUUGGGGGUGAAAUCCCGGGGCUCAACCCCGGAACUGCCUCCAAAACUCCUGGUCUUGAGUUCGAGAGAGGUGAGUGGAAUUCCGAGUGUAGAGGUGAAAUUCGUAGAUAUUCGGAGGAACACCAGUGGCGAAGGCGGCUCACUGGCUCGAUACUGACGCUGAGGUGCGAAAGUGUGGGGAGCAAACAGGAUUAGAUACCCUGGUAGUCCACGCCGUAAACGAUGUCUACUUGGAGGUUGUGGCCUUGAGCCGUGGCUUUCGGAGCUAACGCGUUAAGUAGACCGCCUGGGGAGUACGGUCGCAAGAUUAAAACUCAAAUGAAUUGACGGGGGCCCGCACAAGCGGUGGAGCAUGUGGUUUAAUUCGAUGCAACGCGAAGAACCUUACCUACUCUUGACAUCCAGAGAACUUUUCAGAGAUGGAUUGGUGCCUUCGGGAACUCUGAGACAGGUGCUGCAUGGCUGUCGUCAGCUCGUGUUGUGAAAUGUUGGGUUAAGUCCCGCAACGAGCGCAACCCUUAUCCUUGUUUGCCAGCACUUCGGGUGGGAACUCCAGGGAGACUGCCGGUGAUAAACCGGAGGAAGGUGGGGACGACGUCAAGUCAUCAUGGCCCUUACGAGUAGGGCUACACACGUGCUACAAUGGCGCAUACAGAGGGCGGCCAACUUGCGAAAGUGAGCGAAUCCCAAAAAGUGCGUCGUAGUCCGGAUUGGAGUCUGCAACUCGACUCCAUGAAGUCGGAAUCGCUAGUAAUCGUGGAUCAGAAUGCCACGGUGAAUACGUUCCCGGGCCUUGUACACACCGCCCGUCACACCAUGGGAGUGGGCUGCAAAAGAAGUGGGUAGUUUAACCUUCGGGAGGACGCUCACCACUUUGUGGUUCAUGACUGGGGUGAAGUCGUAACAAGGUAACC